ensembl:misc_RNA
CCGCUGGGCUAAGUAGGGGGCUGUUUUAUUAUGGUCUUCAUUUUAUCAUUAUGAAACC